AGAUGGGGUUUCAGGCUGAUCUUGAACUCCUGACCCCAAAUGAUCCACCCUCCUCAGCCUUCCAAAGUGCUGGGAUUACAGACAUGAGCUACUGCACCAGCCUCAAGAUCCAAUUCUAAGAGAACAUAGAGUAGUCAAGCUUCCAAGACUCCAGACACAUCCAAAUGAAGUGCUGCAUGUGGCAGUCUGCCAUUCGUA
rfam:Chlorocebus sabaeus isolate 1994-021 chromosome 23, whole genome shotgun sequence.